rnacentral:lncRNA from 1 species
ACUCCUGCCUCCUAGACUGAGGAAAGAAAAGCCUCCUGGUUUGGAGCUCAUAAUCAAGUCAGCCUUGCUGCAGGGCUCAUUUUAAGCCAGUAUCCUGGACCAGAUAAGGAAGCUGAAGCUUUGAGAAUUUAAUUUGCUCAAGGGGAGGCCAGGACAAGAAAUAAUGAAGAGUCCGAUGUGGCAGGAAUGUAGGAAACAAGUCAAUGAUGGAAGAUAAAUAUGGAGACGUGAUGAAGGCAAAAUUCUGAAGGGUCUUAGAGCCCAUUAUAAGACGUUUGGUUUUUAUGACUAUGCCGUGCAAGACUUGGUAAACUGGUCCCUACCGCAGAGGAUUUUAUACAGAGCACGCUAGUGGCUCACAGAAUAUUUCACUGAUUGCCUUGCCCGCUUCUCAAAGGCCCACUUCUCUGUGGAAUGAUGCAGUUGCUAAGAAGAGCUGUUAAUGUCAUGACCUCAAUGAAUAAAAAAGACUUCCUUUUCUCCAUGCCCACUCAAGUAAAAGGCUUCUCUCUGAACUCCUGCUAAUUUUUCAUCAGCAAAGGUGCACAGCCUUUUGGAAGUGAAAUGAUUACUAGUGAAGAAAAAGAAAGAACCUAA